rnacentral:rRNA from 1 species
AAUCAACGCUGGCGGCGUGCCUAACACAUGCAAGUCGAACGCGAAAGCCCCUUCGGGGGUAAGUAGAGUGGCGUCCGGGUGAGUAACACGUAGGUAAUCUACCUUCGGUGGGGAAUAACCAGUCGAAGAUUGGCUAAUACCGCAUAAUGCAGCGGCACCCUAAUGGUGAUUAGUUGUUAAAGCGGGGGAUCGUAAGACCUCGCGCCUGAAGAGGAGCCUGCGGCAGAUUAGCUAGUUGGGAGGUAAUGGCUCACCAAGGCUUCGAUCUGUAGCUGGUCUGAGAGGACGGCCAGCCACACUGGCACUGACACACGGGCCAGACUCCUAC